rnacentral:rRNA from 1 species
GACGAACGCUGGCGGCGUGCUUAACACAUGCAAGUCGAACGGAAAGGCCCUGCUUUUGUGGGGUGCUCGAGUGGCGAACGGGUGAGUAACACGUGAGUAACCUGCCCUUGACUUUCGGAUAACUUCAGGAAACUGGGGCUAAUACCGGCUAGGAGCUCCUGCUGCAUGGUGGGGGUUGGAAAGCUUCGGCGGUUGGGGAUGGACUCGCGGCUUAUCAGCUUGUUGGUGGGGUAGUGGCUUACCAAGGCUUUGACGGGUAGCCGGCCUGAGAGGGUGACCAGCGACAUUGGGACAGAGACACGACCAAGACUCCUACGGGAGGCAGCAGUAGGGAGUAUUGCACAUUGGGCGGAAGCCUGAUGCAGCAACGCCGCGUGCGGGAUAACUGCCUUCGGGUUGUAAACCGAUUUCGGCUGUGACGAAGCGUGAUUGAGGGUAAUAGGUAAAGAAGCACCGGCUGACUACGUG